AAAAGAACUUAACAAAAAGGCAGAGGGGCGCUGGGCAUCAAUGGAAAAGUAUAGAAGAAUCUCUUGGGCUUUUCUGAUGCUUGUGGACAGCUGAGUGUAAACUUCCUGGUGCUAAGUAUGUCUUCUCCCAAAUGGGAAACUCUUUGGGAGGAGGAUCUAUGGCAGCUCUAUUUUCAGGAAACUCUGCUUCAGGGUUCUGCUGGACUAGAAAUCCUGGUUCCCAGUGGGACUACCCUUCUACCAAGGAACAUGGUAAGCUUAGAGAAAUCUCUGUCUCUGAUCCAGAAGAACCUCAAAACUCAGAAUGGAGGGAAGAACUGCAUGGGGGACUAUCAAGACUUGCUGAUCUUAAGGUAAGAGAAAAAAAAAAUUUGUCUCCAAUUCUUAGGCUCCUCUCCCUUGGAAAUACGCUGUGUCUUUUAGAGAUUACCCAACCAAUGGAGAGAGAGGAAUGUCGGGGAUAAAUAGUUGCCCUCUGAUGCGAGUCCAACAUUUCAUUUUCAUUUUCUAAAUCUUUCUCAGAAGUUUAAGAGUUGAUGCCAGUGUGAUUUGAUAAACUGGAACACAUGUUGAUUAGCUAUUGGAGGUAAAGGAGGAUUUGAGAUCAUAAAUAAUAUAAUCAGUACUGGGACCAUUGAAUGAGAAAGAG
rnacentral:lncRNA from 1 species